ensembl:lncRNA
AUGUAUGUGUCUCUUUGUAUCCAGGUAAAGGAGCUCUAUCAGGGAGUUCUUGGGAAACUGCAGCUACUCCACCCUGGCCUGAUCACCGAGGAGAGAAUGGGAGAGGGAUGUGAGAGGAUGAGGAGGGAGGUGGAGAAGGAGGUGGUACGACGGAAGACUCUGGCCUCACAGCUGAGGACACUGCUCGACAGUCAGCUGCAGGUCUUGAGGCGAGAGCAGCAGGCUCAGCAGAGGGUGCACAGCGUGUUCAUAGCUCAGCUCAGAGAGUGCACAAGACUACUCUGCAAGGCUCACGACAACAAUCUCCAACAGAGUUUGACCCAGCGGCUGAGCGCCCUGGUAGAGGAGAUGGGAGAGCUGGUGUCAGCAGAGUGCCAGCGUCAGGGGGCCUGGGGGUUUCUGGGGGAGGGUACGGGGGCCAAGCUGCUCUGCCCUGACUCUGGAACCGUGCUGACCAAGGACCACAUCUUUGCUCCUGAUGGAUCCAUGCGUCAUUGCAGGGCCCUUCAUUGGGAUUCAGUCACAGGGCUCUUAAGGCCGAAUGCUCACAGCCACAUGCUGCUGAGCAGCGGCCACAACGUGGCAGUGCCACCUGAUUUCUUCAUCAACCCACAGACCGGCAGAGUGAUGCCCAUAGCGGGCAACGUGGCCUACGACCCCGCAAGCUCUACUCUGGUUUCCACCACAGGCUCGUGUUCAGGAGACAGCAGGAAGUGGGACAGUCCCCUCCUUCCUUUCCUUCCUUACCCAACCUCCAGCCACUCAGAACAGCCUCUGUCCAACACUCGUCUUAGAGGCCUCAGGCCGGGCCAGCAGUUGCAACUGGGAGUUCCCAUGGCGGACCCGGACACAGGAGUGCCAGUGCCAAUUCUGGCUGUGACCAUCCACCCCCAGACAGGACUCGUCUACCCACUGGGCGGGGUGCACGUCUGUCCCCUCACCCGCCUGCUGCAGCCCAUACAGAUUGGCUACCCCAUGCUGGACUCCAAAACGGGGAACGUUGUGCUCACUGUUGGGGUCAGUCUGGAUCCAGCAUCAGGAGUUGUGCUGCCAGUCGGUGGAGUCCUGCUGGCGGAGUCCUUUAUUGAACCUCUAAGUGGCCGGAUGUUGAGAGUGGGAGGUGCAAUCAUGCAGACUGGGCAGCUGCUGCCUAACGCUGGUGGAUACCAGACCUUCCUAGACAGCAAGGUUCUGUCCGUGCUGUUCAAAGUGUUGGAGCUUCUGAAGACACUGACUGACGUGUGGGGAUCAGAUCAAAAUUUGCAGCACCAUCAGGGCAGCGAGAGAGGGAACGGCCGCCAAGAUCAUCUGGUAGCUGCAGCCAAAGAGCUCCAGCAGGCCUGGGGACGCAGCCUGCACUGCCAGAUGCAGCUGCAGACCAGGUUGGGUAUCCUCCUUGACUGGGCUGCAGGUCUGCAGAAGGAUGGCGGGACUUUGGGAGAGAUGCCUCUCCCAGGUUCAGAUGUGUGUGUGCCCGCUCUGCUGGGGAUGGAGUACCCUGACCCCAUGGGAUCUGGUCUGAGUGUGCCCGUGCUGGGGGGUCAGACAGACUUUGUCUCUGGAAAAAUAAUACCGCUGGCCGGUACCAUGGAGGACCCCGAUGGAAAAGGCCUGGUGGCUAUCUGUUACGCUUCUCAGACUGUGGACCCGGUGACUGGGGUGUUGACCCCAGUGGUUGGAGCCAGGUUGGAUGCGUCCAGGAAACACGUUGUGCCAGUCACAGCCUCUUACUGGCUGACGGUGGCCAGUGAAACUGACAGUGUGCAGGUGGAGGCGCUGCAGAGGGAAGUGUGUGCGCGAAACACUUACUGGCAGCAGCAGAGGCAGCGGGAGGAAGAUGUUCUCUCUGACCUGGACUUAGCCGCCUUCCAAUGUCUCUUUAGAGUUACAGAAACAAAGUCUCAUCAGGUCCAGUGGUCGGGGAUGCAGCUGAAGGAAGCAGCCAUGGAACUGCAGGGUUCGGCGCAGAUGGAAGUACAAAGGAGAGCAGCUCGGCGCUCCCAGUUGGCUCUGAUCUUGCCUCUGCAUGUAUUACACAUCCUCACGCAGGGUGACGAGGAAGCGUGGGAAAGGCAGUGUGCGUGGCACUCAGAGCUUGUGGCAGGCCUUGAUAAGCUGGAUGUAAGUAUGGAGCAGCUGCAACAAGACCAAGAAAAAUGGACAGCACAAGGAGGAGACUGGGCUUCAACCAUGCAUGCUACGGACAGAGAGCUGAGACAGCGAGAGUUGUGGGAGCAGUGUUGCUCCAGACUGACAGAGUUGGAAGCUGCUCUUAACGCACUGCAUUCUGUCAGACACCUCUCUCAACUCCGCGCAGACACUGCUCAGGCAGUGCUGUGUGGAAACUUUUGGUAUAGGGAAUAUGGUCUGGUCAAGUGCAGUGGACACAGGCCGACUGUGGAGCGCAGGGGUUUGCUUCAACAGAUGGCUUUGCCUCUGCUGGAGAGACUGAACAAGCUCCUGGAAGACAAACAGCCUACCAGCUCCUCUCCCAACACCUGCAAUCAGCACAUUUCUGGUUUGUCGACAAAGCAGGCGUAUGGGUUGGAGAUAGCCUCUGGAGUCUGGACAGCCUCUGUUCCCAAAGUAACAGACACAAACCAGAGCUUCAUAGACGUCCUGGAUGCUCAGUGGGAAUGUGAAGGAGAGCUGAUCCCUUUGGACCUCUCUGUCCUUAACCCCAGAGAGCUUUUGGUCUACCAGCACGGACUGUUCCUCAUGCACACAUUGCAUGGUUUAAAACUGACACCAUCCAUUUCACUUCAGAUUGCAGCUAGUCUCCCAAACAACAGCUACCUAAAAAACGCCUUCAGAAACUCCUUCUUUUAUCAGGAGGCAGAGGGGACGCUCUUUGUCCGUCGACAGAGGCUGAAGUCGGUUGGAGGUUUCUCCCUGCUGCUGCUCCACUGUCUGUCCCACAUCAAGAUACACAACAUGAGCUCGGACUCCAGUCCUGUCUUCCAGAGGCUUUUCUUCAAGGUACUGCAGGGAUGUUUGGGGGAGCUGUUUCAUGCCAGACUGGGUGUGACCUCCUCUGGACAGGAACACAGUCGGUCUGUGUUACAGGACCAAGAGACCCCAUCUGGAGUUUUAAAGAGGAGCCUUUCAGACUCCCAUGCUGCUUCACUGCUUUGCGGGUCUCAAACACCAAGCAGAGGAUUUCUGUCUGAAGAUGAAGUUGGGGAACUACAGAGGAAACACAGAGAGACCAGUCUGCUCACCCAUCUUGAAGGACUUUUGAGAGAGAAAAGCUCUCUGUGA